ensembl:rRNA 5S_rRNA 5S ribosomal RNA
GCUUACGGCCAUACCACCCUGAGAACGCCCGAUCUCGUCUGAUCUCGGAAGCUAAGCAGGGUCGGGCCUGGUUAGUACUUGGAUGGGAGACCGCCUGGGAAUACGAGGUGCUGUAAGCU